GACGAACGCUGGCGGCGUGCUUAACACAUGCAAGUCGAACGGAAAGGCCCUGCUUUUGUGGGGUGCUCGAGUGGCGAACGGGUGAGUAACACGUGAGUAACCUGCCCUUGACUUUGGGAUAACUUCAGGAAACUGGGGCUAAUACCGGAUAGGAGCUCCUGCUGCAUGGUGGGGGUUGGAAAGUUUCGGCGGUUGGGGAUGGACUCGCGGCUUAUCAGCUUGUUGGUGGGGUAGUGGCUUACCAAGGAUUUGACGGGUAGCCGGCCUGAGAGGGUGACCGGCCACAUUGGGACUGAGAUACGGCCCAGACUCCUACGGGAGGCAGCAGUGGGGAAUAUUGCACAAUGGGCGGAAGCCUGAUGCAGCAACGCCGCGUGCGGGAUGACGGCCUUCGGGUUGUAAACCGCUUUCGCCUGUGACGAAGCGUGAGUGACGGUAAUGGGUAAAGAAGCGCCGGCUAACUACGUG
rnacentral:rRNA from 1 species